AUUGAACGCUGGCGGCAGGCCUAACACAUGCAAGUCGAGCGGGUGUAGUGAUCUUUCUCCUGGAUUCAGCGGCGGACGGGUGUGUUAUGCCUAGUAAUCUGCCUGGUAGUGCGGGAUAACGUCCGGACACGGGCGCUCAUACCUCCUACGUCCUGAGGGAUAAAUUGGGGGAUCUUCGGACCUCCCGCUUUCAGAUUAGCCUAGGUCGGAUUAGCUAGUUGGUGGGGUAAAGGCCUACCAAGGCGACGAUCCGUAACUGGUCUGAGAGGAUGAUCAGUCACAGUGGAACUGAGACACGGUCCAGACUCCUACGGGAGGCAGCAGUGGGGAAUAUUGGAAAAUGGGCGAAAGCCUGAUCCAGCCAUGCCGCGUGUGUGAAGAAGGUAUUAGGAUUGUAAAGCACUUUAAGUUGGGAGGAAGGGCAGUAAGUUAAUACCUUGAUGUUUUGACGUUACCAACAGAAUAAGCACCGGCUAACUUCGU
rnacentral:rRNA from 1 species